UACGAAGGGGGCUAGCGUUGCUCGGAAUUACUGGGCGUAAAGCGUGUGUAGGCGGCCACGCAAGUCGGAUGUGAAAGCCCUGGGCUCAACCCAGGAAGUGCACCCGAUACUGCGACGGCUUGAGUACCGGAGAGGUUGGUGGAAUUCUCGGUGUAGAGGUGAAAUUCGUAGAUAUUCGCAAGAACACCAGUGGCGAAGGCGGCUCACUGGCCCGGUACUGACGCUGAGGUGCGAAAGCGUGGGGAGCAAACAGG
rnacentral:rRNA from 1 species